rnacentral:rRNA from 1 species
GACGAACGCUGGCGGCGUGCUUAACACAUGCAAGUCGAACGGAAAGGCCCUGCUUUUGUGGGGUGCUCGAGUGGCGAACGGGUGAGUAACACGUGAGUAACCUGCCCUUGACUUUGGGAUAACUUCAGGAAACUGGGGCUAAUACCGGAUAGGAGCUCCUGCUGCAUGGUGGGGGUUGGAAAGUUUCGGCGGUUGGGGAUGGACUCGCGGCUUAUCAGCUUGUUGGUGGGGUAGUGGCUUACCAAGGCUUUGACGGGUAGCCGGCCUGAGAGGGUGACCGGCCACAUUGGGACUGAGAUACGGCCCAGACUCCUACGGGAGGCAGCAGUGGGGAAUAUUGCACAAUGGGCGGAAGCCUGAUGCAGCAACGCCGCGUGCGGGAUGACGGCCUUCGGGGUGUAAACCGCUUUCGCCUGUGACGAAGCGUGAGUGACGGUAAUGUGUAAAGAAGCACCGGCUAACUACG